AGCUUGCUGCUUCGCUGACGAGUGGCGGACGGGUGAGUAAUGUCUGGGAAGCUGCCUGAUGGAGGGGGAUAACUACUGGAAACGGUAGCUAAUACCGCAUAAUGUCGCAAGACCAAAGAGGGGGACCUUCGGGCCUCUUGCCAUCGGAUGUGCCCAGAUGGGAUUAGCUUGUUGGUGGGGUAACGGCUCACCAAGGCGACGAUCCCUAGCUGGUCUGAGAGGAUGACCAGCCACACUGGAACUGAGACACGGUCCAGACUCCUACGGGAGGCAGCAGUGGGGAAUAUUGCACAAUGGGCGCAAGCCUGAUGCAGCCAUGCCGCGUGUAUGAAGAAGGCCUUCGGGUUGUAAAGUACUUUCAGCGGGGAGGAAGGGAGUAAAGUUAAUACCUUUGCUCAUUGACGUUACCCGCAGAAGAAGCACCGGCUAACUCCGUGCCAGCAGCCGCGGUAAUACGGAGGGUGCAAGCGUUAAUCGGAAUUACUGGGCGUAAAGCGCACGCAGGCGGUUUGUUAAGUCAGAUGUGAAAUCCCCGGGCUCAACCUGGGAACUGCAUCUGAUACUGGCAAGCUUGAGUCUCGUAGAGGGGGGUAGAAUUCCAGGUGUAGCGGUGAAAUGCGUAGAGAUCUGGAGGAAUACCGGUGGCGAAGGCGGCCCCCUGGACGAAGACUGACGCUCAGGUGCGAAAGCGUGGGGAGCAAACAGGAUUAGAUACCCUGGUAGUCCACGCCGUAAACGAUGUCGACUUGGAGGUUGUGCCCUUGAGGCGUGGCUUCCGGAGCUAACGCGUUAAGUCGACCGCCUGGGGAGUACGGCCGCAAGGUUAAAACUCAAAUGAAUUGACGGGGGCCCGCACAAGCGGUGGAGCAUGUGGUUUAAUUCGAUGCAACGCGAAGAACCUUACCUGGUCUUGACAUCCACGGAAGUUUUCAGAGAUGAGAAUGUGCCUUCGGGAACCGUGAGACAGGUGCUGCAUGGCUGUCGUCAGCUCGUGUUGUGAAAUGUUGGGUUAAGUCCCGCAACGAGCGCAACCCUUAUCCUUUGUUGCCAGCGGUCCGGCCGGGAACUCAAAGGAGACUGCCAGUGAUAAACUGGAGGAAGGUGGGGAUGACGUCAAGUCAUCAUGGCCCUUACGACCAGGGCUACACACGUGCUACAAUGGCGCAUACAAAGAGAAGCGACCUCGCGAGAGCAAGCGGACCUCAUAAAGUGCGUCGUAGUCCGGAUUGGAGUCUGCAACUCGACUCCAUGAGGUCGGAAUCGCUAGUAAUCGUGGAUCAGAAUGCCACGGUGAAUACGUUCCCGGGCCUUGUACACACCGCCCGUCACACCAUGGGAGUGGGUUGCAAAAGAAGUAGGUAGCUUAACCUUCGGGAGGGCGCUUACCACUUUGUGAUUCAUGACUGGGGUGAAGUCGGAACAAGGUA
rnacentral:rRNA from 1 species